UUGUGUUCAAAGGAAUGCAAGAAGCCCGUAAUGCCUUGCCGCUAUCAGUGCCAUGCUGAGUUUACAACUCAGGCCCAGGACAGUGCAGGAGGAAGCCAAGGCACUUCUUGCUUCUUCGCCAACAAUGGAACAGUGACACCCACAAAAAGUGGAACUGUGUCAAGAAACAAAGAGGAGAUCUCAAAAAUCACACUCUCAUCCAAACUAUCUGCAAAGAAGCGGGCGUCUUUCCGUGAAGAUGAAGACGAUGAUUUUAAAGUAGAUAGGAAAAGGGUUCGUUCGUUAGAAACAGAGCAGCAGGUGAGGAAACGACACCGGCUGUCCCAAGGAAUCCAGUUGGUCGACGCUUUGGAGGUUUAUCAGCAGCAGAAAAAUGGGGAGUUGAUCAUGUGCUCCGAAAAAGCAGCCGCUUUCUCUCUCAAAACAUUACAGCCGUCCACCUCCUGCACUCAGUGUUCCUGUUCUUCUGUCGAGGAAAAACUCAAAGAUGCCGCUGAUGCAAAGAAGAAGGAAAGCGGAGGGAAACCAUUUAUCCCUAAAAUAUUUUUUGGAACUCGGACCCACAAACAAAUUGCUCAGAUUACUAGGGAGAUGCGGAGGACAGCAUAUUCAGGUGUCCGUAUGACGAUUCUUUCUAGCAGGGACCACACUUGUGUUCAUCCAACUGUGUCCAGCUGCAGCAACAAGAAUGAAAAAUGUGUAGAGUUGCUGGAAGCCAAAAAUGGCACAUCUUGUUCUUACUACCAUGGAGUCCAUAAGCUUAGUGAACAUCACAUCUUACAAUCUGCACUUAAGAAAUACCAGGCUUGGGACAUCGAAGACCUAGUGAGCCUGGGGAAGAAACUCCGUGCCUGUGCCUAUUUUGCAGCUCGGGAGCUCAUGGGGGAGGCUGAGAUUGUGUUUUGUCCUUACAACUAUCUUUUAGACUCACAAAUAAGAGAGAGUAUGGAGAUUAACUUGAAAGACCAGGUGGUCAUUUUAGAUGAAGCUCAUAAUAUAGAGGAUAGUGCACGGGAAUCAGCCAGUUACAGUGUGACGGAAACUCAACUCAGGUUGGCCCGAGAGGAACUGGACACGAUGGUGAACAACAACAUUAGGAGGAAGGAUCACCAGCCCUUGUGCGCUGUAUGCUGCAGUCUGACAAAUUGGUUAAAGGAAACCUGCGGUCAGCUUGUGGGGAGAAAUUAUGAGAUCUCCAGCAAAGUUUGGAGUGGAAGCCAAAUGGUGGCAUUCUUGCAUAAUAUGGGAAUAACCAAUGCUACGUUUCCCAUCUUACAGAAACAUUUUGCUGCUGUACUUGAAAAGGAAGAAAAAAUAACCCUGUUCCACGGAGGGGAAGAGCUUGUUUCCAUUCCAAUUAUAAGCCCUUCAACUCAGAUUAUGCUAAAAGGGCUCUUCAUGGUCCUGGGAUAUCUUUUUAAAGAAAACCACAGGUUUGCCGAUGAUUACAGAGUUGCCUUGCAACAAACCUACAUUUGGACUAAUGAAAAUCCAGUUGAUGCUCCAGAUAAGGAUGGCUUCUUUGCACGAUCCAAAAGAAGAUCACGUCAAAAAAUGGCAGUGCAUACACUUAGCUUCUGGUGCUUGAAUCCGGCUGUGGCUUUCUCUGACAUGAGUGGCAUUGUCAGAUCAAUCGUGCUGACCUCUGGAACACUUUGUCCAAUGGACUCAUUUUCUUCUGAGCUUGGUGUGAAGUUUUCCAUUCAGCUGGAAGCAAACCAUGUUAUUAGGAACUCACAGGUGUGGGUUGGUACCGUUGGAGCCGGCCCCAGAGGCAGGUCGUUAUGUGCUACUUUCCAGCACACGGAGACCUUUGAAUUCCAGGACGAAGUUGGGGAGCUUCUGCUCUCAGUCUGUCAGACCAUUGGCCGAGGGGUUCUGUGCUUUGUGCCAUCUUACAAGAUGUUGGAUAAACUGAAAGAUCGCUGGCUGCACACUGGCUUAUGGGGAAAGCUUGAGUUGAUUAAGACCGUCAUUGUGGAACCCAAAGGAGGCGACAAAAGUGACUUUGAUGAGCUGCUGCAAAUAUACUAUGAUGCCAUAAAAUGUAAAAAUGGAAAAGAUGGUGCACUGCUUAUCGCUGUCUGCAGAGGCAAAGUCAGCGAAGGCUUGGAUUUCUCCGAUGAUAAUGCCCGUGCAGUUAUAACCAUAGGAAUUCCAUUUCCAAAUGUGAAGGACCUUCAGGUUGAGCUGAAGAGGAAAUACAAUGACCAACACUCAAAAGCGAGAGGGCUUUUACCAGGCAGCCAGUGGUAUGAAAUCCAGGCCUACAGAGCUCUCAACCAAGCACUGGGCAGGUGUAUUCGCCACAGGAGCGAUUGGGGAGCACUUAUUUUAGUUGAUGACCGCUUCAGAAGGAACCCAAAUAAAUACAUAGCUGGAUUAUCGAAAUGGAUUCGCCAGCAAGUCCAGCACCAUGAAGACUUUGAUCACGCUCUUAAUUCUUUAGAUACAUUUGCCAAAACAAAUCAGAAGAGCACAGAUUCUUCAGCUCAGGACAGCAACAGACCUGUGCUCAGGCCUUCAAGUUCAAGAGAUCUGUCAUCAAGCUCUUUCCUGGAGGCAACUCUUCAUCCAUCACCAGAUGUUACUGUUGAAAGAGAAGCGCAUGAUUUAGCCCUGGAAACACUUUCUGCUACAGACGGCAUCGCCGUUAAUCCAGCACCAUCCAGUCAGCCAUGUAACAUCUUCGCACAUGAAAAAAAACUUCAGCCAUUUUACCAGGCUUUAACGGACUUCAAGCCCCAAAGCUUGACUACUGAAAACAAGAGGGAGAAAGCAAAGAGUCAGCUCACCUCUGGCAAUAUUAAACGAUAUUUCAGUAAAUCAUUGACUUCAACGCCUCUGCCUGCUCUGAAUAAGAAAGAUCUCUCGAAAGCAAAAGGCCAGCCACAGGGGCCAGUGGCUGAAAGUACGCAGCUGGUUGCAAAGGGACCCCAGCAGGAUAUGUCCUUGUUUGAGGAGCACAGGCCAAGUGGACUAUUACUACAGCAAGAACUGAUGAGCUAUUCUGCUGGAAGGGUCAUUGGCUCAGUCAUUCAAGAAAAUCCUAAUGAACAGCAGCUUUGUGCUCAUGAGGACAGAAGGGAGGUGGCAUUUUCUCCAGUGAGAAGAAACAUGGAACUUCCAAUGUCAGUUAUAGCUGCCGAAACAGAUGCUGAUGAUGACAGUAUCUAUUUCACACCUGAACUUUUUGACAAUGUUGAGUCAGCAGAACAAAAACAUGAGUUGUCAGCUCACUCUCGCACUGAGACUGGGACCUUAUUUGAAACGGCAGUCUCUGUUACAGUUAAAGAGCUUUGUGAAACCAGUACUCGAAGCCCAGUAGAUGCAGCGGUCAAUGUUGAAACUGAUACCACUGCGAAUGCAGAGGGGCCUGGAGUCGUGCAGAGCAGUCUGAGUAAUGGAGGUGCAGUCAGAGCAGCUGGAUGUAGUACUAGCAUAGGUGAAGUUGAGCAGGAGUCCAAGAGAAAGAAACGUUCCAGAUCCGAGAACAAAGGACUGAAAGUGCAGAGAAUAUACAAACGAAGAAUCAGGAAACCAUCUAGUAAGGGAGGUGGCCACAUCACUGACAGCUUCGGAAGGAACUGUGCUAUGGUGGGCACUUCUUUUACCGCUUAAGGGCACCAGAAGAGAGGGAGCAGCAUGCUCGGCACCUUGCAAAAAUCUGUCCCGGGUUUACGCGCAGGGAUCUGGUGCAAAGAGCAGCUGAAGAUUAGCUGGAACUGGGUGGAGGAAAUUAAAGGAACAACAACUGAAGAGGGACACUAAGGAUGGAUUUUUCCAUUCGACGGCUGCAGACUUUCAGGAAUUUGACUUCAUGAAAGACUUGAGGAUGCUGGGCCGAGGAUAAGGAAGGCAGGUGAUGAUCCAAAAUCACAUUUCAGCCCCUUGGAGGUUUGGACAUUUAUGUAUUUUUAUUGUUGUUAUUCCACGGAAGAAAAAGCAGAUUUGCAAGUCUCCUCCUUACGAAAUUAACCACCAGUGCAAUUUUCAAAUAAUAAAAAAAGGCUUUUGUUACAAAUGCUGCAAGAAAA